UACGGGAGGCAGCAGUGGGGAAUAUUGCACAAUGGGCGCAAGCCUGAUGCAGCCAUGCCGCGUGUAUGAAGAAGGCCUUCGGGUUGUAAAGUACUUUCAGCGGGGAGGAAGGCGAUGUGGUUAAUAACCGCGUCGAUUGACGUUACCCGCAGAAGAAGCACCGGCUAACUCCGUGCCAGCAGCCGCGGUAAUACGGAGGGUGCAAGCGUUAAUCGGAAUUACUGGGCGUAAAGCGCACGCAGGCGGUCUGUUAAGUCAGAUGUGAAAUCCCCGGGCUUAACCUGGGAACUGCAUUUUGAAACUGGCAGGCUUGAGUCUCGUAGAGGGGGUAGAAUUCCAGGUGUAGCGGUGAAAUGCGUAGAGAUCUGGAGGAAUACCGGUGGCGAAGGCGGCCCCUGGGACGAAGACUGACGCUCAGGUGCGAAAGCGUGGGGAGCAAACAGGGAUUAGGAUACC
rnacentral:rRNA from 1 species